UUGGAGGAUGUAUAGCGGUAGCUGGUUGUAUUUACUUAUAGUUAGUGCAGCAUCGACUAUGUCGAAUAAAGUUCUAGAUAGAGUUAUGAUAAUGACAUUUUCUAUCUAUGUGUCUCGACCAAAUCACGUGCCACCAGUCUCGGUAAUACGUGGGAGACUAGUGUUAUUCAUCUUUAAUUGGUUUAAAGGGUACCUAGACUGUUCAUCAAGCCCCUAAAGGGUACUAAUGGACUAGAGUUUUAUGAGAGGGGGGGUGUACAUGAGAGUGGAGAGAUGAAAUACUGUCAUACCUUAUUUGAUACAGGCAACAGCGAAAGCAACCUUUUAUGUAAAAACUGACGUUGAAGGACGAAGGCUUAGUAUAACCAACAGGAUUAGAUACCCCAGCAGUCUUUGCAGACAAUGAUGAAUGUCAUAGAUUGGAAUUAAGUAUUU
rnacentral:rRNA from 1 species